GUACAAAAUCCGCCUGAAUGAUUCACAGCUGGUCUAACUGCUCCCCAUGGCAAGAGAUUAAGUCCUAGAACUAAGGUUACUUUUGUCUAGAUUAUGGGGUAAAAAAGCUUUUGUAUGGAUUAGUUCUCUUCCAAUGAUUCUCAUGUUUAAUGUUGUGAGUUACUUCCACAUAUGUGCACACCCGAGAGUGUUGACAAGUAUAGGUCUGAACAAUUAAAGGAAGAUGAUACAACAAUAGUUGAAGGAAGGUCAACCUAUUUUUCCAUCCAAUUCUCGUUAGUCUUCCAUGGACCUAAAAAUAUUACUAUGAAACAAGAUACAUAUUGUUUAGAAGUUGCCAAAAUUCCAGUGGAUAAACAUUAGGGCUCGUCACUCCUUAUGUUUACUAACCUCUAUCUUAAAUCUGCUUCCUUGUGAGUUUUAUUUUUGAUCUA